rnacentral:rRNA from 1 species
CCUACGGGGGGCUGCAGUGGGGAAUAUUGGACAAUGGGGGGAACCCUGAUCCAGCCAUGCCGCGUGUGUGAAGAAGGCCCUCGGGUUGUAAAGCACUUUCAGUGAGGAAGAACGCCUGGUGGUUAAUACCCAACAGGAAAGACAUCACUCACAGAAGAAGCACCGGCUAACUCCGUGCCAGCAGCCGCGGUAAUACGGAGGGUGCGAGCGUUAAUCGGAAUUACUGGGCGUAAAGCGCGCGUAGGUGGCUUGAUAAGCCGGUUGUGAAAGCCCCGGGCUCAACCUGGGAACGGCAUCCGGAACUGUCAAGCUAGAGUGCAGGAGAGGAAGGUAGAAUUCCCGGUGUAGCGGUGAAAUGCGUAGAGAUCGGGAGGAAUACCAGUGGCGAAGGCGGCCUUCUGGACUGACACUGACACUGAGGUGCGAAAGCGUGGGUAGCAAACAGGAUUAGAUACCCCAGUAGUC